GGAUGUGAGGACGAUGUGGCUGCGACAUCUGUCACCCCAUUGAUUGUCAGGGUUGAUUCGGCUGAUCUGGCUGGCUAGGCGGGUGUCCCCUUCCUCCCUCACCGCUCCAUGUGUGUCCCUCCCGAAGCUGCACAUUCGGUCGAAGAGGACGACCAUCCCCGCUAGAGGAGAACCGGUCUUCGGUCAAGGGUAUACGAGUAGCUGCGCUCCCCUGCUAGAACCUCCAAACAAGCUCUCAAGGAGACAUGUGCUUUAAAGAAGGUCUGGCUCCUGCUCAUCAGAACCCCACCCUGUUGGGCUCAUUUC
rnacentral:snRNA from 1 species